AACGAACGCUGGCGGCAGGCCUAACACAUGCAAGUCGAACGCCCCGCAAGGGGAGUGGCAGACGGGUGAGUAACACGUGGGAACGUACCCUUUGGUUCGGAACAACUCCGGGAAACUGGAGCUAAUACCGAAUAAGCCCUACGGGGGAAAGAUUUAUCGCCGAAGGAUCGGCCCGCGUCGGAUUAGCUAGUUGGUGGGGUAAAAGCCUACCAAGGCGACGAUCCGUAGCUGGUCUGAGAGGAUGACCAGCUACAUUGGGACUGAGACACGGCUCAGACUCCUACGGGAGGCAGCAGUGGGGAAUAUUGGACAAUGGGCGCAAGCCUGAUCCAGCCAUGCCGCGUGAGUGAUGAAGGCCUUAGGGUUGUAAAGCUCUUUCGCCAGGGACGAUAAUGACGGUACCUGGAUAAGAAGCCCCGGCUAACUUCGUGCCAGCCGCCGCCGUAACAC
rnacentral:rRNA from 1 species